rnacentral:rRNA from 1 species
GGGAAUAUUGGACAAUGGGGGCAACCCUGAUCCAGCCAUGCCGCGUGAGUGAAGAAGGCCCUCGGGUUGUAAAGCUCUUUUGUCCGGAAAGAAAAGCAUUCGGUGAAUACCCGGAUGUUCUGACGGUACCGGAAGAAUAAGCACCGGCUAACUUCGUGCCAGCAGCCGCGGUAAUACGAAGGGUGCGAGCGUUACUCGGAAUUACUGGGCGUAAAGCGUGCGUAGGUGGUUGUUUAAGUCUGAUGUGAAAGCCCUGGGCUCAACCUGGGAAUGGCAUUGGAAACUGGGCAGCUAGAGUGCGGUAGAGNGUAGUGGAAUUCCCGGUGUAGCAGUGAAACGCGUAGAGAUCGGGAGGAACAUCUGUGGCGAAGGCGACUGCCUGGACCAGCACUGACACUGAGGCACGAAAGCGUGGGGAGCAAACA